UUACUAUGAAUGUGUGGGAACAUGUGGU
rnacentral:piRNA from 1 species